rnacentral:misc_RNA from 1 species
AACGCACGAGACCUGCGGACCUGCGGAGGGAUCAUUACCGAGUUAUCAACUCCCAAACCCCUGUGAACAUACCCGAACGUUGCCUCGGCGGGACCGCCCCGGCGCCCCUAGCGGCCCGGAACCAGGCGCCCGCCGGAGGACCCAAACUCUUGCUUUAAACAGUGGCAUACUCUCUGAGUCUCACAAACAAAAAAUAAAUCAAAACUUUCAGCAACGGAUCUCUAGAUCGGAAGAGCACAC